rnacentral:rRNA from 1 species
GCUCAGGAUGAACGCUAGCGGCAGGCCUAAUACAUGCAAGUCGAACGGUGUAGCAAUACAUAGUGGCGCACGGGUGCGUAACACGUAUGCAACCUACCUUAUACUGGGGGAUAGCCUUUGGAAACGGAGAUUAAUACCCCAUAGUACAUUUGAUUGGCAUCAAUUAAAUGUUAAAGAUUUAUCGGUAUAAGCUGGGCAUGCGUCCAAUUAGUUAGUUGGUGAGGUAAUGGCUCACCAAGACUUUGAUUGGUAGGGGAACUGAGAGGUUAAUCCCCCACACUGGCACUGAGAUACGGGCCAGACUCCUACGGGAGGCAGCAGUAGGGAAUAUUGGGCAAUGGAGGCAACUCUGACCCAGCCAUGCCGCGUGCAGGAAGAAGGCGUUAUGCGUUGUAAACUGCUUUUAUAUAGGAAGAAAUAGUCCUUGCGAGGAAAGUUGACGGUACUAUAUGAAUAAGCACCGGCUAACUCCGUGCCAGCAGCCGCGGUAAUACGGAGGGUGCAAGCGUUGUCCGGAUUUAUUGGGUUUAAAGGGUGCGUAGGCGGUUUAUUAAGUCAGUGGUGAAAGACGGUCGCUCAACGAUUGCAGUGCCAUUGAUACUGGUAGACUUGAGUGGGAUUGAGGUAGCUGGAAUGGAUAGUGUAGCGGUGAAAUGCAUAG